GCAGACACAUUCCAGCCAAUCAGCAGCAGACCCUCCCUCCCAGACCCUCCCACCUCCUGGACAGCAUCCAUUGUGAAGCUGCAUUCUUAGUGAUCUGUCCAGGAGGUGGGAGGGUCUGGGAGGGAGGGUCUGCUGCUGAUUGGCUGAAAUGUGUCUG
rnacentral:miRNA from 1 species